UACGGAGGGUGCAAGCGUUAUCCGGAUUCACUGGGUUUAAAGGGUGCGUAGGUGGGUCUGUAAGUCAGUGGUGAAAUCUCCGAGCUUAACUCGGAAACUGCCAUUGAUACUAUAGGUCUUGAAUUAUCUGGAGGUGAGCGGAAUAUGUCAUGUAGCGGUGCAAUGCUUAGAUAUGACAUAGAACACCAAUUGCGAAGGCAGCUCACUACGGAUAUAUUGACACUGAGGCACGAAAGCGUGGGGAUCAAACAGG
rnacentral:rRNA from 1 species